UCCUACGGGGGGCAGCAGUAGGGAAUCUUCCGCAAUGGGCGAAAGCCUGACGGAGCAACGCCGCGUGAGUGAUGAAGGGUUUCGGCUCGUAAAACUCUGUUAUUAGGGAAGAACAAAUGUGUAAGUAACUGUGCACAUCUUGACGGUACCUAAUCAGAAAGCCACGGCUAACUACGUGCCAGCAGCCGCGGUAAUACGUAGGUGGCAAGCGUUAUCCGGAAUUAUUGGGCGUAAAGCGCGCGUAGGCGGUUUCUUAAGUCUGAUGUGAAAGCCCACGGCUCAACCGUGGAGGGUCAUUGGAAACU
rnacentral:rRNA from 1 species